UUUUUGUAAUUAAUAUAAAGUCUAAUCUGCCCCCUGAUAAUUUAUUAAAGGGCUGCAGUAUUUUGACUGUACAAAGGUAGCAUAAUCAUUUGUCUCUUAAUUGGUGACUUGUAUGAAGGAUUGAAUGAAAUAUGAACUGUCUCAUUAUAAUAAGUAAAAUUUAAUUUUUUAGUAAAAAAGCUAAAAUAAUUUUAAAAGACGAGAAGACCCUAUAGAGUUUAAUAAUUUUUUUUAUAUAAAUAAAAUGUAAAAAUUUAAAUUUAAAUUAAAAUAAUUAUUUUGUUGGGGUGAUAGAAAAAUUAAAUUAACUUUUUUUAAAAAUAAACAUAAAUAAGUGAUUAAAUGAUCCAUUAUUAAUGAUUAUAAGAAAAAAUUACCUUAGGGAUAACAGCGUAAUUUUUUUUUUUAGGCCAAAUAAAAAAAAGAGUUUGCGACCUCGAUGUUGGAUUAAGAUAAAAUUUGAAUGUAAAAGUUUAAAGUUUUGAUCUGUUCGAUCAUUAAAA
rnacentral:rRNA from 1 species